rnacentral:lncRNA from 1 species
UAUGGCCCUAAAAAAAACUACACACACACACACACACACACACACACACACACACUAGUUUAGAAAUUUUUAAAAUUACUUUCUCUUGGAAUGUGAUGAUCUUUUUCAAACUGCUUAUUCAGGUCUUAAUCAUUGAAGGAAAUUUUUCUUCAAUUGUAUCAUUGAUUAUCUCAACUCUUCUAAGAGCAUUCUAUUACCACAGUGUUAAUAACUCUAUUCUUUUUUUAAAUUUAUUUAUUAUUGUCUUUUUGCCUUUUCUAGGGCCGAUCCUGAGGCAUAUGGAGGUUCCCGGGCUAGGGGUCUAAUUGGAGCUUUAGCCACCGGCCUACGCCAGAGCCACAGCAACUCGGGAUCCGAGCCUUGUCUGCAGCCUACACCACAGCUCACAGCAACACCCGAUCCUUAACCCACUGAGCAAGGCCAGGGAUUGAACCCGCAACCUCAUGGUUCCUAGUCGGAUUCAUUAACCACUGAGCCAUGAUGGGAACUCCCAAUAACUGUAUUCUUAGCCUAAGUCUGUGUUCUUUGUCUUUUAGGACCAUCACCUUCACUCUUAUAUCAUUUUCAUCUUUUGUCUUUUUUUCUUUCAUUCCUGAAAAUUCUCACAUUUGUCUUUCUCAUCCCUGAUUUAUCUUGGUCGGAACCUCUCUGACCAACACCCCCCCCCCAAAUGUUUGUUGUACUCUUUGCUGUUUCUAUUGUGUGUAUUAAUGUAACUAUCUUGAUUUUAUUUGCAUUUCACCUUGUUCCUUUAUUAUCUAAGUGUGGUGUCUUUUUUUCUCAUUCUUUUAUUUCUUUUCCUUAAAUAUUAUCCCCUUAGAAUUUUUGCUCCUAUUUCACAAAGAAUCUCUCACGUCUUGUAAGAUUUUAAGAUUUCCUUUUGCUUUCCAAAUAAAAUGUAUUUUAGAAGUAGGACUUUCUUCUGAGUCUUCAGAAUAAUAAUACUUCUUCCCUUUCCAUAUAUUUAUUGGCCCCAUGGUUUCUAAUGUUGGGAUCAGUUUUUGUCUUUUUGUUUGUUUGUUAUUAAUUUUGAAAGAAAGAAAGAUCUAUGCAGACAUGAUAUUUGUCAGUAAAUCUCUGUGUAAAUUGCUGUUGGCUUCUCUCACUGCUCAUUUGGCUGUUAGUUCCACUCCAUGUUCAGAUUAAUAGCUGGAGUGAAGUGGAGGAUAAGGAGGCUAUUUUGAUGGGUUUUAUAUUCGACCUCAUUUCCAGGCAUGAAUUCCUCUGCUUUAACUCUGCUGACUUGAAGUGAGAUUUCUCUCUAAUCCCCAGAGCCUGAUUCUUUAUCACUUUCCCUAAAUCCUCCUACCUUGGUAUGUUAUCCUACCAAGGUAGGGCUCUUCCCACCCCUGCAUUGCCCUAUUCCCUAUUCGCUAACUUUCAAAAUUGCUUUAUUAUGAAGACGUAACUCCCAACACUCGGUGCUCACAGUCUUGUAUAAAAGGAACAUAAGGAUGGUUGGUGUCUGAUAGGUUGAAGGUACAGAGGAGCAUAGAGAAAAACACUUUAACCCCCAGAUGUAGAACUGAACACUAGAGGAACAAUUUUUUUUUCUUGUUCAUGAUAGUUUAAACAGAAUUUGAAGCUAGUUCUCUUUGACUACUUUGUUCAAGUCAGUACAGUAGACACUCCUUCUAGAAACUAAUCCAUUUUCUUCAAAAGGAAGAAAUAGAAAGUUUCUGCCCCAUUUAUACUAUAAGAUACAUAAAAGGGAAGGACACUUUCCUAGCCUCAAAGAUACAAACAUCCACAUACAAAAUGACAACACAGCUUGUGUGGUGAAUUCAGAGAUAAGGUAAAGGAUUGCAUUUUUGAAUAUAGGUAUCAGACGACUCAUUCCCAUAAUACAGUAAACUCCUCUUUGUACAGUACACUGUAAAGGAAUGGGUAUUUGGGAUAAACAAGAGCUGCAGCACAUUAGGUGUGGUCUGACUCUUGCCCAGACAGCAGGAGUAUCACUCCCUUUGGUCUGGACACUGCAGUCCUGUUAAUUCAGCUCCAGAUCAAAUUAUCCUCUUGGCAGCAUCAACACACUGGUGACUCAUAUUGGGCUGGCAGUCAACUAAAAUCGUUAAUCCCUCUCACACGUGCAGCUGUUUAGUUACUUCUCCCCCAUUCUGGCUUGGUGCAGUGCUGCUCAGAGGCUGAAUGCUGUGUUUUCAUAUUCGUCUAAAAUCGUCUCAUUUAGAAGUAUGGAAAUUUCACACACUGCAUAAUCAUCAAGACAUAGGGAUGAAACAAGCUGAAACUGUUAUUAAUUUGCUUUUUAAGGCAAAAGGACUAAGUAAAUGAAAAAGAGAUGCAAAGAUUAAGAAUAAUGUCAGUUUCCUACCGCUUCUCCUAUCUAAUAGAACAACAGUUUUCCUCUGUCCUCCUCCUGAAUAAAAGGUCUAUAUAAAUUCUCUGCAUCCAUCUUUUCUCUGCAAAUCUUCCAGCUAUGGGACUUUGGGGGAAUUCAUAUAUACAAGGCAGAGUGGUACCCUGGUUCUCUGGGAUGGUCACCUACUCCCCCUCAAAUGUAAUUUUAGAUACCGUCUUCUCCAAAAAUGACUGAGCCACACUAAGGGGGAACUAACAUUUUCUGAGCCUCUGCUAGAUUUAUUUAGGGUUAGGCACUGUUUUUAUAUAUGAUAUUUAUAACAUUGUCAUGGCAACCUUGUAAGUUAUACAGGACUCUCUCUGUGUUUUAUGGUGGCACAAUUAGAGGUAUUGGGAAAAUAAGGAUAUUAUCCUAAGUUACAAAGCAUAUAAAUGAAGGAGGCAGGAUUUGAACAUCAAAUGAUCUGAGUGGAAGGCUUGGUUUAUUCAACAAACUUCUAUUCCCAGUCAAAUGCUUAGAAAGCAGCCAAAUCUAGGAGAAAAGCUCUGGUGUGAAAAAAGCGAAAGGACAUUUACUCUGAAGGAAAGAUUAAUGAGGUGGUGUGCUUACUUUGGUCUUGGUUUCUAAAGCGAUGCCAAACUCAUCAUAUGUCCUCAGUAAAUAAUAGAAAUUUAUAAAUUAGGCAGGAAAUGGUCAGACAUUUUUAAUGUUGCUUAUCAAACCAAUAUGACUCUAUUAACUAGCAGCAAUGUAUUAAGUUCUUACUUUAUAUUCCGUACUUCAUGGGGUAUCAUGGGGUAUGUGGUAAAAUAAGACAAUAAGGUUUGAGUGAAACCCAAUAUAUAUGACCAACAUUCUCCACUUUCAUCAGGUAGCGAAUUGUAUACUGAUUGUUGAUGGUAUGGAUAUUUAGAGACGGAGCACUUGAAGGAUUUGUGGGGGAAGGGAUCAUGGAAUACAUAGGGCUCAUUUUAUGUGAGUUGUGAAGGUUGAUGCAUCUCCAAAAAAGAAAAUGUCACCAGGAAGGAAGGAAGGCAAAGUGUAGAAUGUUUGGGGAAAAGGAGAAACAGAGACACAGAAGUGAUAGGAAAUGAUUGUAAGUUAGGGUAAUGUUAACUGGUGGAACAAACAAAUGGAUAAUGCAUGGAGGCUUUUAUUGGAAGCUCUUCAGAACCAGAUACAUUAAGUGGUGUUUAACAUAUUUCCCUUCGAAUUCCAUCGAGCAGAACUCAGAUAUGUGAUCACACGUAACAGCAAGGGAGGGUGGGAAAUGUCUAUUUGUGUAGAAGUAUUUCAGUUAAUAGCUCUAGCGCAGAAAUUGACACAACUCGGAAAGUCAACCAUACUUUAAUAAAAAUAAAAUUUAAAAAAUAGCUAGUUAAUCUCUGCAACAGAAAUGAAGUGAUUAAAAAACAAAACAAAACACUGAGGCUGACGAUUAAGACCUAAUCUUUUUGUGCUUCAGUUUUCUUAAUUGUAAAAUGGAGCUAAAACUCUUGAUAGCCUGCUUGCUCAUAGGCUUGAUUUUAGAAGGAGCAAAUAAGAGAAUUAUUAUAACCUGGCUUUGAGAACUCCAAUGAGUUCUAAAAGUUUCUCUGGUGUUGGGGUUGGGGUCUCUUCUUAGAUGCCAGGAAACUGUUAUGCUUAUAGCCGUAUUUCUUUUUUUUUUUUUAAGUUUUAUUGAAUUAUAGUUGAUUUAUAAUGUUGUGAUAAUUUCUGCUGUACAGCAGAGUGAUUCAGUUGUACAUGUCCACAUAGCCAUAUUUCUUUGUAGCUGCACAAAGAAGAUGGAGAAAACAGUAACAAAUUAAAGGAUCAACGGUACGAAGGAGUUUGGACUGGGAAAAAUAGGAAAUUAUCAUUUUAAGACGGCUUCCAUGGGUCCAAAAUUUUUCCAGCCACAUGUUGGGUACUAAUUAAAAAUUUGUUGAAUAUAUGAGAACUGCCUUGUUCUUUUAAUACCCAGAAAACCUGUAUCAAUGUCCUGUGUAUAAAAUAGGAUUCUGUGAGUGAAGAUAUGAGAUAAAUGGAAGGAAGAGUGAGCAAGAAAAAUAGGAAGAGGAAAUGUGGAAGGAUUGAGCAAUGCUACCUUGCUUUACACUUGUAAUUUUAGUAUCUUUUGUAGUAUUUUAUCUUGAUUAUUUUUUUAAACUUUUUACUGUGAACAGGACUUUGCAUGUAUAGAUGAAUAGAAAGAUAUUUAUAAAGACUCUCUAAAGCCCAUUGUCUAGAUUUAACAUCAUGAGAUGAAAAGGGAAGGUUGGGCAAUGGGGCACUUGUCUAAAUUACAAAUGACUUAAAAGUCUGAACAAUCAUAUGUAAUGAAUGGAUACUGAUUGGAUCGUCGUUUGACUAAAACAACCAUAAAAUGCAUCCUGAGACAACUAGGAAAAGGUAAAUGAGACUAGGAUGGUGUUAGAUGACAUUGAUAAAAUUAUAGUAUGUUUUAAUAAAUAAUUUUGUCCUUAAGAAAAUGUCCUCACUUUUUAGAAAUAAAUGCUAAGAUAUUUAGUAUACCUUACAAAGUCUAAUAUCCCUUUUAAAAAU